rnacentral:rRNA from 1 species
CAUGCAGUCGAGCGCCACCCAGGGGAGCGGCCGACGGGUGAGUAACGCGUGGGAACGUACCUUUUGCUACGGAAUCCUCGGGAAACUUGUGCUAAUACCGUAUGUGCCCUUCGGGGGAAAGAUUUAUCGGCAAAGGAUCGGCCCGCGUUGGAUUACCUAGUUGGUGAGGUAAAGGCUCACCAAUGCGACGAUCCAUAGCUGGUCUGACAGGAUGAUCACCCACACUGGGACUGAGACACGGCCCANACUCCUACGGGAGGCAGCAAUGGGGAAUAUUGGACAAUGGGCGCAAGCCUGAUCCAGCCAUGCCGCGUGAGUGAUGAAGGCCCUAGGGUUGUAAAGCUCUUUCACCGGUGAAGAUAAUGACGGUAACUGGAGAAGAAGCCCCGGCUAACUUCGUGCCAGCAGC